rnacentral:rRNA from 1 species
AAUAGAUACCCAGGUAGUCCACGCCGUAAACGAUGAGUGCUAAGUGUUAGGGGGUUUCCGCCCCUUAGUGCUGCAGCUAACGCAUUAAGCACUCCGCCUGGGGAGUACGGUCGCAAGACUGAAACUCAAAGGAAUUGACGGGGGCCCGCACAAGCGGUGGAGCAUGUGGUUUAAUUCGAAGCAACGCGAAGAACCUUACCAGGUCUUGACAUCCCAUUGACCACUAUGGAGACAUAGUUUUCCCUUCGGGGACAACGGUGACAGGUGGUGCAUGGUUGUCGUCAGCUCGUGUCGUGAGAUGUUGGGUUAAGUCCCGCAACGAGCGCAACCCUUGUUCUUAGUUGCCAUCAUUUAGUUGGGCACUCUAAGGAGACUGCCGGUGACAAACCGGAGGAAGGUGGGGAUGACGUCAAAUCAUCAUGCCCCUUAUGACCUGGGCUACACACGUGCUACAAUGGACGGUACAAACGGUUGCCAACCCGCGAGGGGAGCUAAUCCGAUAAAACCGUUCUCAGUUCGGAUUGUAGGCUGCAACUCGCCUACAUGAACG